GACGAACGCUGGCGGCGUGCUUAACACAUGCAAGUCGAACGAAGUGGCGAACGGGUGAGUAACGCGGAAUCAACCUGACCUUCAGAGGGGGACAACAGUUGGCAACGACUGCUAAUACCGCACACUGAAGGCGGGGGUUGAGUCUGCUUAGCUGGUUGGAGGGGUAACGGCCCACCAAGGCGAUGCUCAGUAGCCGGUCUGAGAGGAUGAACGGCCACAUUGGGACUGAGACACGGCCCAGACUCCUACGGGAGGCAGCAGUGGGGAAUCUUCCGCAAUGGACGAAAGUCUGACGGAGCAACGCCGCGUGAGUGAUGACGGCCUUCGGGUUGUAAAGCUCUGUUAAUCGGGACGCGGUACCGGAAUAGAAAGCCACGGCUAACUACGUGCCAGCAGCCGCGGUAAUUC
rnacentral:rRNA from 1 species